UACAGAGGGGGCGAGCGUUGUUCGGAAUUACUGGGCGUAAAGGGCGCGUAGGCGGCCUCUUAAGUCGAACGUGAAAUCCCCGGGCUCAACCCGGGAACUGCGUCCGAUACUGGGGGGCUUGAAUCCGGGAGAGGGAUGUGGAAUUCCAGGUGUAGCGGUGAAAUGCGUAGAUAUCCUAAGGAACACCGGUGGCGAAGGCGGCACGCUGGACACCUUCUGACGCUGAGGCGCGAAAGCCAGGGGAGCAAAGCGGGG
rnacentral:rRNA from 1 species